GAUGAACGCUAGCUACAGGCUUAACACAUGCAAGUCGAGGGGCAUCGAGAAGAAAGCUUGCUUUCUUUGUCGGCGACCGGCGCACGGGUGAGUAACGCGUAUCCAACCUUCCCCGCAGUAGGGCAUAGCCCGGCGAAAGUCGGAUUAAUACCCUAUGUUGUGCUUUGAGGACAUCUGACGAGCACUAAAGUUUCACGCCAGGGGAUGGGGAUGCGUCUGAUUAGCUUGUUGGCGGGGUAACGGCCCACCAAGGCGACGAUCAGUAGGGGUUCUGAGAGGAAGGUCCCCCACAUUGGAACUGAGACACGGUCCAAACUCC
rnacentral:rRNA from 1 species